rnacentral:rRNA from 1 species
AGAGUUUGAUCCUGGCUCAGAUUGAACGCUGGCGGCAUGCCUUACACAUGCAAGUCGAACGGCAGCACGGGGGCAACCCUGGUGGCGAGUGGCGAACGGGUGAGUAAUACAUCGGAACGUGCCCAGUAGUGGGGGAUAGCUCGGCGAAAGCCGGAUUAAUACCGCAUACGACCUACGGGUGAAAGCGGGGGACCGCAAGGCCUCGCGCUAUUGGAGCGGCCGAUGUCAGAUUAGGUUGUUGGUGGGGUAAAAGCCUACCAAGCCGACGAUCUGUAGCUGGUCUGAGAGGACGACCAGCCACACUGGGACUGAGACACGGCCCAGACUCCUACGGGAGGCAGCAGUGGGGAAUUUUGGACAAUGGGCGCAAGCCUGAUCCAGCCAUGCCGCGUGCGGGAAGAAGGCCUUCGGGUUGUAAACCGCUUUUGUCAGGGAAGAAAUCUUCCGAGCCAAUACCUCGGGAGGAUGACGGUACCUGAAGAAUAAGCACCGGCUAACUACGUGCCAGCCGCCGCGGUAAUAC